AGUGGCGGACGGGUGAGGAAUGCAUCGGAAUCUACUCUGUCGUGGGGGAUAACGUAGGGAAACUUACGCUAAUACCGCAUACGACCUACGGGUGAAAGCAGGGGAUCUUCGGACCUUGCGCGAUUGAAUGAGCCGAUGCCCGAUUAGCUAGUUGGCGGGGUAAGAGCCCACCAAGGCGACGAUCGGUAGCUGGUCUGAGAGGAUGAUCAGCCACACUGGAACUGAGACACGGUCCAGACUCCUACGGGAGGCAGCAAUGGGGAAUAUUGGACAAUGGGCGCAAGCCUGAUCCCAGCCAUACCGCGUGGGUGAAGAAGGCCUUCGGGGUUUGUAAAGCCCUUUUGUUGGGAAAGAAAAGCAUUCGGUUAAUACCCGAUUGUUCUGACGGUACCCAAAGAAUAAGCACCGGCUAACUUCGUGCCAGCAGCCGCGGUAAUACGAAGGGUGCAAAGCGUUACUCGGAAUUACUGGGCGUAAAGCGUGCGUAGGUGGUUGUUUAAGUCUGUCGUGAAAGCCCUGGGCUCAACCUGGGAAUUGCGAUGGAAACUGGGCGACUAGAGUGUGGCAGAGGGUAGUGGAAUUCCUGGUGUAGCAGUGAAAUGCGUAGAGAUCAGGAGGAACAUCCGUGGCGAAGGCGACUGCCUGGGCCAACACUGACACUGAGGCACGAAAGCGUGGGGAGCAAACAGGAUUAGAUACCUGGUAGUCCACGCCCCUAAACGAUGCGAACUGGAUGUUGGGUGCAAUUUGGCACGCAGUAUCGA
rnacentral:rRNA from 1 species